rnacentral:rRNA from 1 species
CCUACGGGGAGCAGCAGUGGGGAAUAUUGGACAAUGGGCGAAAGCCUGAUCCAGCCAUGCCGCGUGUGUGAAGAAGGCCUUCGGGUUGUAAAGCACUUUCAGUGGGGAAGAAAGCCUUGGGGCUAAUACCCUCGAGGAAGGACAUCACCCACAGAAGAAGCACCGGCUAACUCCGUGCCAGCAGCCGCGGUAAUACGGAGGGUGCGAGCGUUAAUCGGAAUUACUGGGCGUAAAGCGCGCGUAGGCGGUCUGAUAAGCCGGUUGUGAAAGCCCCGGGCUCAACCUGGGAACGGCAUCCGGAACUGUCAGGCUAGAGUGCAGGAGAGGAAGGUAGAAUUCCCGGUGUAGCGGUGAAAUGCGUAGAGAUCGGGAGGAAUACCAGUGGCGAAGGCGGCCUUCUGGACUGACACUGACGCUGAGGUGCGAAAGCGUGGGUAGCAAACAGGAUUAGAUACCCCAGUAAUC